rnacentral:rRNA from 11 species
UCGAUGUCAGCUCUUCGCCACUUGGGGCUGUAGUAUGUUCCAAGGGUUGGGCUGUUCGCCCAUUAAAACGGUACGUGAGCUGAGUUCAAAACGUCGUGAGACAGUUC